CUGGGCUCGAUUCUGACAGAAAAAUUUUUUCAACAGAAGGAAAUUGCAGCAGCUGUUCUAGUUCAAUUUUUUGAUCUGUUAACCAUCCGAAACUCAUCCGAGGCCCUCAAGACCUCAACCAAAUAUACCAACAAGUCCUAAAAUAUCAUACGAACUUAGUCGAAUCCUCAAAUCACCUCAAACAACGCUAAAACCAUGAAUUACACCCCAAUUCAAGCCUAAUGAACUUUGAAAUUUCCAAUUUCUACAAACAACUCCGGAACCUAUCAAAUCACGUUCGAUUGACCUCAAAUUUUGCACACAAGUCCUAAAUGACAUAACAGAGGUAUUUCAAUUUUCAGAAUCGGAUUCUGACCCCGAUAUCAAAAAGUCAACCCCCGGUCAAACUUCUCAAAAAUUAAACUUUCGGCAUUUCAAGCCUAAUUCCUCUACGGACCUCCAAAUAAUAUUUCGGACAUGUUCCUAAGCCCAAAAUCACCAUACGGAGAUAUUGGAAUUAUCAAAAUUCAAAUCCGAGGUCGUUUACACAUAGGUCCAUAUCCGGUCCACUUUUCUAACUCAAAUUUUUAAUUAUGAGACUAAGUGUCUCAUUUCACUCCGAGUUCCUUCCGGACUCGAACCAACUAAUCCGAUAUAACAUAAUAUAGCUGAAUAACCCAAAAAAAAGUAGGAAUAGGGAAAACGGGAUUAUAACAACGACCGGCCGGAUCGUUACACAGAUUGACUGUGUUACAAAUGACAAUUUGAUUAUCAGUGUCUACAACUACUUGAAUGAGCCUUUCCUCAUUUCUUGGUAUGACUUAUAAUCAAAGUGUAUUCCUUUUUUCUUUCUUAAUCCCCUGUUAAUGUUAUUCAGGUAAAGAAAAGAUGCAAUAUGUUGGAUAUUAAGCAAUGUGAUUGACAUUGUAUGGAUAUAUACAAAAAACUUUUUAUUUUGAUACAGAUCUAUUCAAUAUUUUUCCUCCUAUAUACGUUCAUGAACAAUGAAAUGUCUCUGAUAAAACAUUUUCAUCUCAAAUGUUUCUCCAAAAACAAUGUUCGCGUUUGUUCCUCAUUUUUUUGGACAUUGUAUUUUUUGUUAUUCCUAAUAUGAGUGUAUAAUAGUGUAGAAAAGUGCACAAUAUUGUUCUACUCCCUCAUUCUGUUACUUUAGCUAUGACAGAAAAUUACACAAUAUUCUAUAAUAAAGUGUGUCUAUAUUGUAAUAUAAUCUACAGAGAAUUAAGUCGAAUGUCACGUUUGUAGUAAUCUAAGUGGUAUACUUUUAUAACUUACGUUGUGUUUCCGAAGUUAGUUGUGAAACUGCAAUUCUGAUUGUCAUGUGCAUUCCUUUAUGUUUAAUACAAUUAUUCUAACAGAGUAAAAUGAUGUAGAAGUUUUUAAUGCCUUGUUGUAUCGUCAUAUUAAGAUUGAAUAACCGGAAGUGAAAUCCUUGUAGCUGAAAGUUAGGGAUGAAUAAUCAUCUUUAUUUUGUAGAAGUUUUCUCCUUAUAAUCUCAAACUGCAUUAUGUCUAACAAUCUUUGAUAUGACAUAAAGGUUUUGAUAGGGGAAUCCUGUGAUACUUCUCCCAUUUUGAAAUAGUUAUGGAAUUUUAAAUACUAUAUAUGUCAAUGAUUGGUGAGACAACAAGAAUCAGCAAGCUAUAACCAGGUUGUUACAAGCACUGCUGGUUAAUACAAUCUUGUACAAGUUGUUCUAUCUCCUGGUAAAUACUCUUUAGUAUGACUAUAUAUUUAAUACUUGUUAAGUCUCUGUUAACUUGUAUCAUGUAUGUGUUUGUGAUUUAUCAUCCCUAGUUGGAAAGUCAUCCGUUGUCAAAAUUCAAUAGGAAAUGCAUAAUUGUUGUUCUCAGACAUUGAUAUUAUUCUUUGCUAAUUUAUUUCUUGAUUUCUAUAGAUUGGAAUUUACUAAUAUAAUCUGACUUGCUAAUUUAUUUCACAACUGAUUGUUUCCUGAAGAAAGGCGUGUUCCUUACAGUUUAUUUCUCUUUUCUCUUAUUCAGAUUGUUUCAUGUUCUGGUUUUAAAUUACAACAAAUACUGUCAAAUGCUUUGUCCAACAAUUAUUGCGGUAACUUGACAAGUUACGACAACCAGUGUAUCAAUGUCUAUCAUACAUAGUUUAUGUGCAUCUCUUUCAGCAGACAGUUGAAAGAGUUCCAUCUGUAAGUGUUGUGUUAUGUCGUCCGCUUGCACUUUAUCCAUUCUCUUCCUGCAGUUUCUGAUUCUAUCAACAAAUCAUGUCUUAUAUGUUAGCUUAUAAUGUUUUGUGGUCUUGGUUAUAGUGAUGUUCAUGUCUGAUGUGAUUGAAUAAGCUACUUGAGACCAUAUUUGGUUUCCACCAUUUAUGGCAAGGAUUCAGGUAAGCAUCUUUGUAAGUCUCAAUUUAAACAAUCCAAGCCUUCUUAUUGCAUUUGGAUGUUCAUUUAAGCUUACCAUAAGUGGUAUAAGCUAGCUUCCCUUCUUUCUAACAUGAUUGAAAUUAGUCUUUCAAAAAGAAAACAAUUAAGAAAACAGGAAUAAGAAAGCUGUUGUUUGCUAAUAAAGUAAGUUGUUGUUUGCUAAUAAGUGGUAUAAGCUAUAUAAGAGUGAGUACACAGUUUGCUAAUAAGUGGUAUAAGAGUGAGUAUAGGUGGUAUAAUGUGCUGUUUGCUAAUAAAGUUUAGAUGAAUAAUACAGUUAGAUAUGCAUUGUAUCGUAUCCUUCUUUAUUUUCAUAUAUUUUGUAGAUAUACAUCGAGGGAGAGACCGAGGUAGUGCAGUAUCUGUGGAUCGCGGACACUUCUUACUAUUUCUCCCACUUGGUUAGUCCAUGCUUGUACUGUUAUUUUUGAUAUAUGUUAUUGUUAUUUGCACAUCUUAAUGGGCUAACAAUGCGGAAACCCUUCAAGGCUUGAUUGAAGAAGUGGCUUAUUCCCACAUAUAUUGAGUAUGAUAAGGUUGGCAACGCAUAUGGUGUGAGGUUGUAUCAGUUUUCAACCUUUUCUUCUGUAUUGAGACAAAAAUGCAUUAACUCUUUAUGCGAUUGUUUUUGUGAAAGUAGGAAAAAGUCUCAAAAUUUAGGUGCUGGACAGUGAAUAAUGUCACAACAUCUACUGCAUUCAUAUUCUUAACUUGAAGUUUAUACUUGGAGAUGCUUCAAAAGUUUAAAUUAUCCUCUAGAAUAUGUUCCAUUUGUACUUGUUUUCUUUUUAAAUGGAAAUGAUGUGUGUCACUGGAGGUUGGAAGCCUAGUUGCUUCCUGUUUAGAUAUAAAGAUAAAACUCGUUUUGGUUCCUGGAACAUUUAUAGGGAGAGGCAAUGUUAUAUUCAGAUAAACAAGUAGACAAAUGAAGUUGGAAUUUUCCACUAGCCUAUUCAAAAAGUUAUAGAAG
rnacentral:lncRNA from 1 species